rnacentral:rRNA from 1 species
UCUGAUCUCAAAUCAGGUAGGACUACCCGC